UGGUUCUCCCCGAAAGCUAUUUAGGUAGCGCCUCGUGAACUCAUCUCCGGGGGUAGAGCACUGUUUCGGCUAGGGGGCCAUCCCGGCUUACCAACCCGAUGCAAACUGCGAAUACCGGAGAAUGUUAUCACGGGAGACACACGGCGGGUGCUAACGUCCGUCGUGAAGAGGGAAACAACCCAGACCGCCAGCUAAGGUCCCAAAGUCAUGGUUAAGUGGGAAACGAUGUGGGAAGGCCCAGACAGCCAGGAUGUUGGCUUAGAAGCAGCCAUCAUUUAAAGAAAGCGUAAUAGCUCACUGGUCGAGUCGGCCUGCGCGGAAGAUGUAACGGGGCUAAACCAUGCACCGAAGCUGCGGCAGCGACACUAUGUGUUGUUGGGUAGGGGAGCGUUCUGUAAGCCUGUGAAGGUGGCCUGUGAGGGUUGCUGGAGGUAUCAGAAGUGCGAAUGCUGACAUAAGUAACGAUAAAGCGGGUGAAAAGCCCGCUCGCCGGAAGACCAAGGGUUCCUGUCCAACGUUAAUCGGGGCAGGGUGAGUCGACCCCUAAGGCGAGGCCGAAAGGCGUAGUCGAUGGGAAACGGGUUAAUAUUCCCGUACUUGGUGUUACUGCGAAGGGGGGACGGAGAAGGCUAUGUUGGCCGGGCGACGGUU
rnacentral:rRNA from 1 species